CUUCAAUAAAUUUAUCUUUCCGUGCAUUUCAACUCAAAUCACUGUUUCCUUAUUUCUAUCAAUUCAGAAAGCAGCGCGUCGAUAAUUUCUUAUUCAAGUGGUGUUCUGUGCAUUCGGUGUCAAUCAACGUUGAAAUCGUACCAGCACUUCAUUCACAUGAAUUGAAGCAGAAUUGCGGUGAUUCGUUUAUUUGAUUCGUUGCAGCUUAUUGGCAGGUGAAGAAAAUGGAGAUUAGAAGUGCAUGAAUUUGAUUCGUUGAUUUAUUCAUACUGACUCGAACCGUUGAUGUUCGACUACGGUGUAGUUAAAUCAAUUCCAAUUGCUAACUCCAUUUCAAUUUACUGAACAAUUAUCGGUGGUCGGUUUAAUUCGUUGAAGCGCCAUACAUAUGCAGAAGCUUUUUUUCAGUCGUUUAGCUUUAUUCAAAUCAACCUCCUUUGAUUUUUGGAGACUGAGCGGACGCGUUUGGUGCCUUUUGAUUGACAUUCACGUGAAGCGGUGGAAGCAAAUUUCAAGGCAGCAGGUGAGAUAGCAAUUUUGAUAAAAAAAGCAGAUGCCGAGGAAGAUACUUUGGAAAUAGCUCUUGAUGGGGAAGGAAAUGCUGCUGCCUAGUUCUCUAGGCUUUAAUUCUCUUAUCCUAGGAUGUUUUGAAGAAACUUUAUUAUGUUCUAAGUUUUAAAUUCUCUGUACUUUGAAGAGAGAAACUUUCAUACUCCAGCUCUAAAUUCUUGUACAGUUAAGGAUGACUGUACUCCUAAUUAAUCUUGACAGCUUUCCUUUAU